rnacentral:rRNA from 1 species
AUUGAACGCUGGCGGCAGGCCUAACACAUGCAAGUCGAACGGUAACAGGAAGCAGCUUGCUGCUUCGCUGACGAGUGGCGGACGGGUGAGUAAUGUCUGGGAAGCUACCUGAUGGAGGGGGAUAACUACUGGAAACGGUAGCUAAUACCGCAUAAUGUCGCAAGACCAAAGAGGGGGACCUUCGGGCCUCUUGCCAUCGGAUGUGCCCAGACGGGAUUAGCUUGUUGGUGGGGUAACGGCUCACCAAGGCGACGAUCCCUAGCUGGUCUGAGAGGAUGACCAGCCACACUGGAACUGAGACACGGUCCAGACUCCUACGGGAGGCAGCAGUGGGGAAUAUUGCACAAUGGGCGCAAGCCUGAUGCAGCCAUGCCGCGUGUAUGAAGAAGGCCUUUGGGUUGUAAAGUACUUUCAGCGGGGAGGAAGGGAGUAAAGUUAAUACCUUUGCUCAUUGACGUUACCCGCAGAAGAAGCACCGGCUAACUCCGUG